rfam:Coccomyxa subellipsoidea C-169, whole genome shotgun sequence.
GGCCGCUUAGCUCAGUUGGUUAGAGCAUCGUGCUAAUAACGCGGGAGUCACCGGUUCGAUCCCGGUAGUGGCCA